rnacentral:rRNA from 1 species
UACGUAGGGUGCGAGCGUUAAUCGGAAUUACUGGGCGUAAAGCGUGCGCAGGCGGUUUUGUAAGCCAGAUGUGAAAUCCCCGGGCUUAACCUGGGAAUGGCAUUUGGGACUGCAAGGCUUGAGUGCGGCAGGGGAGACUGGAAUUCCUGGUGUAGCAGUGAAAUGCGUAGAUAUCAGGAGGAAUACCGAUGGCGAAGGCAGGUCGCUGGGCUGACACUGACGCUCAUGCACGAAAGCGUGGGGAGCAAACAGG